GAGUUUGAUCAUGGCUCAGGACGAACGCUGGCGGCGUGCUUAACACAUGCAAGUCGAACGGAAAGGCCCUGCUUUUGUGGGGUGCUCGAGUGGCGAACGGGUGAGUAACACGUGAGUAACCUGCCCUUGACUUUGGGAUAACUUCAGGAAACUGGGGCUAAUACCGGAUAGGAGCUCCUGCUGCAUGGUGGGGGUUGGAAAGUUUCGGCGGUUGGGGAUGGACUCGCGGCUUAUCAGCUUGUUGGUGGGGUAGUGGCUUACCAAGGCUUUGACGGGUAGCCGGCCUGAGAGGGUGACCGGCCACAUUGGGACUGAGAUACGGCCCAGACUCCUACGGGAGGCAGCAGUGGGGAAGUAUUGCACAAUGGGCGGAAGCCUGAUGCAGCAACGCCGCGUGCGGGAUGACGGCCUCGG
rnacentral:rRNA from 1 species